rnacentral:lncRNA from 1 species
GACUCGGAGCCAGGCGGACUUGCAGGCAGCGGGGCCACCGCGGCUGCUGGGCGACCUCGGAGCCCUCGAAGCCCUCUGAGCCGCUCCGGCGGGCGCGGCGGUGAGAGCCCGGCGAGGCGGCCUCCUCGGCGAGCCCGGACUAGCAGGUGCCGCUCACGCUGGGCUGAGCGCACGCACACGCACACGCAGACGGGCAGGGCGCGGGCUAGCGGGGACCGCGCGGGGCGGGCCGGAGGCGCGCAGCUGCUGCCGCCGCCGCCGCCGCCUCCGCCGCUGCUGGUACUGCCGCUGGUGCUGAUGCUGCGGGCGCUCCGCCAAAGAAGAACAGCUCAGGGAUGUUUUAGCGGAGGCAUCAGAGGGCACACAACUUGCUGCCCACUGCAAAGUUGCCGCUUGCCACUUCCUUAUUAUUCGGUUUUCAUCUCCAGGCUGCAAGUGCAAGGAGAGGAUCGAGGCAGACAAGUGAGUCCAUUGUGUGAGUGUUUGCCCGGCAGCAGGCACCUGGCGACGGUCGAGAGGGGGAGAUGUGCGCCACUCACUAGAAGGCUGCCAAAGAUCAGCUACAAGCCAGGCGGCUGAGCAUUGCUUUGGAAGGUAGAAGAAACAAGGAGUUCACCAAGCAUCUGCUGAGGAAUGCCUGUCCCUGGAACAAAGAUGCCAUCAGCCAAUCACUGACUGCUUUGGGAUUCUUCUACUGCUGCCUGUUGCAGAAUCAGCUUUCUGGGCUCUGCAAUGAAUUAAUUUUUCUUCAUCUUUCAUAAACUAUUCUAUCAAACCCGUUUCUCUGUAUUGCUUUGAAUGUGGUUUGCACAAAAUUAGUUGCCAACGUCUGUAUUAUAAAAUAAAAAUAAAUACAGUUUGUUGUCUCUCA